rnacentral:rRNA from 1 species
CCUACGGGGGGCUGCAGUAGGGAAUAUUGCUCAAUGGGGGAAACCCUGAAGCAGCAACGCCGCGUGGAGGAUGAAGGUUUUCGGAUUGUAAACUCCUUUUGUUAGAGAAGAUAAUUACGGUAUCUAACGAAUAAGCCCCGGCUAACGCCGUGCCAGCAGCCGCGGUAAUACGGAGGGUGCAAGCGUUAUUCGGAAUCACUGGGCGUAAAGCGCGCGUAGGGGGGAUAGCAAGUCAGUUGUGAAAUCCUAUGGCUUAACCAUAGAACUGCAUUGGAAACUGUUAUGCUGGAGUAUGGAGGAGGUAGGUGGAAUUCUUGGUGUAGCGGUAAAAUCCGUAGAGAUCAAGAGGAAUACUCAUUGCGAAGGCGACCUGCUAGAACAUAACUGACGCUGAUGCGCGAAAGCGUGGGGAGCAAACAGGAUUAGAUACCCCAGUAGUC